rnacentral:rRNA from 1 species
UGCUUAACACAUGCAAGUCGAACGGGAAAAGCGGGGCAACUCGCUGAGUACAGUGGCGCACGGGUCCGUAACACGUGGAUAAUCUUCCUAUAGGUGAGGAACAACCUGCCGAAAGACGGGCUAAUACUUCGUAAGACCACGGGAUCUUCGGGUCCUGAGGUUAAAGGUGGCCUCUAUUUAUAAGCUAUCGCCUUUAGAUGAGUCCGCGCACCAUUAGCUUGUUGGUAGGGUAACGGCCUACUAAGGCUGAGAUGGUUAGCUGGUCUGAGAGGACGACCAGCGACACUGGAACUGAGACACGGUCCAGACUCCUACGGGAGGCAGCAGUGGGGAAUCUUGGACAAUGGGCGAAAGCCUGAUCCAGCAACGCCGCGUGAGUGAUGAAGGCCCUCGGGUCGUAAAGCUC